rfam:Geobacillus sp. WCH70, complete genome.
AUUGAAUUAGCUAAUAAAUAUAUCAUCAUAAAGGAGUUUUGGGGAUGGGCACAAUUGUAUGUCAAACAUGUGGUGCGACGAUUGCGUAUUUUGAAGAUGAAAAAGUGACAACGCUUUACGGAAAAUGCUGCGGAUGCGAUUGCGACGAGGCUGAAGAAGAAGGAGAAUAAAGAAAAGGUCAAACGAUGGGGGAAGGUUUGGACAUAGCGCGCAUGUGAAAGGGGCACAUGCGCGCAUUUAUUUUU